UACGUAGGGUGCAAGCGUUAAUCGGAAUUACUGGGCGUAAAGCGUGCGCAGGCGGUGAUGUAAGACAGAUGUGAAAUCCCCGGGCUCAACCUGGGAACUGCAUUUGUGACUGCAUCGCUGGAGUGUGGCAGAGGGGGGAUGGAAUUCCGCGUGUAGCAGUGAAAUGCGUAGAUAUGCGGAGGAACACCGAUGGCGAAGGCAGCCCCCUGGGCCAACACUGACGCUCAGGCACGAAAGCGUGGGGGAGCAAACAGG
rnacentral:rRNA from 1 species